CGUGCUUGUCUUCCAUUGCUACGGUGUGGCAAAGACAUGGAGCUGGCUCCUGCAGACUGGUUCGAAUGCCUACGUUCCUGAGGGCCCCUGGGCGUCAUACGUCACAUGACCGAACUCACUGCCACCUUUGCACUGCUUCGCUGAUGGCGCCAUCGAGGGAGACUGCGCAUUGAUGCUACUCGUGGAAUUCUGUUCUCCCCGUGCUUGUCUUCCAUUGCUACGGUGUGACAAAGACAUGGAGCUGGCUCCUGCAGACUGGUUCGAAUGCCUACGCUCCUGAGGGCCCCUGGGCGUCAUACGUCACAUGACCGAACUCACUGCCACCUUUGCACUGCUUCGCUGAUGGCGCCAUCGAGGGAGACUGCGCAUUGGUGCUACUCGUGGAAUUCUGUUGCUUCCACGUGCCUGUCUUCCAUCGCUACCUUUGACAAAGACAUGGAGCUGGCUCCUGCAGACUGGUUCGAAUGCCUACGUUCCUGAGGUCCCGAGGCAUCACUCAUCGUAUGGCCGAACUUAUAUUGGCACCUUUGCACUCCUUCGCUGAUUGCGUCAUCCAGGGAGACGGGACGUUGCUACUACGUUUGCAGAAGGCUCCCAGCGUGUUCCGGCGUGUGGCGCGCUACAGAAGAUUGAUCCAGCCCGCUCAUUGACAUCUAACAUCCGUGGCAUCCCUCCAAGAGCGACUACGUCCAGCCUGGUCGUUCUACCGGGGACUCUGGACCGGUCAAGUCUUCGUGCGUUUCUAAGACUUUGUUGCUAUCCCGCACUAUCUUCGCUGCGUGUGAGCGUUCAUCCAAAAGACUGCAGUCGGCGUUGCUGGACCACCUAACGGAUCGCUUGCUGCAAUUUUUUUUCUUUCAGUAGCCUAUGCAAGAAAGGUUAUUUCAACAGUUCAGUGUAGCAAGCCAAGCCGUGCUGAGAGCUUCCCUUCGCUCAGCCAACGGCUGGGGCGUCUAGCAGUUACAAUAAUACAAAGCCAAAGAACUGUAAUAAGCACCGAUUUCUCACUCACGAGCUGAUCUGUAAAUGUUUGGCGGUGAGGGUAAGGAUACUUGUUUACACUGUGCGCUUUUGCAUCAAUGCAUAUAUGGUGCCUGUCCAUGUGCAUUUUUAUUUAGCUCCAUCGCCUAAGUUUGCAGGUAAUCUGUGAUGGUCUUGUUGGUCGUGAAUAGAUCAAACUUGUUUCAAUGGGAUUCGCUCUUGUCAUUGUCGCUGGUAGCGACCAUAAGCCGUUGAUAGUUCACUGGCGAAUCAUAUCGACGUUUUUUCUCGCCAUAAUGGCUGUGUAUAGGGUGCCGAAGUGAUCGCUCGCUAUCGUUCAUGGACAUCCACUUUGGAAACA